GCCCCCGGCGCGGCCUCGCCUGACGACGGCCGCAAAGUGCUUUUUCAGCAGCCGCAAGUGAGGGGUCCGGCGCCGCCGCUGCCCGUCCGCCGGGGCCUCCGCGCCAAUGCUGGACCUGGAGGUGGUUCCCGAGCGCUCCCUGGGGAACGAGCAAUGGGAGUUCACCUUGGGAAUGCCUUUGGCUCAGGCUGUAGCGAUUCUCCAGAAGCACUGUCGCAUUAUCAAGAACGUCCAGGUUCUCUACAGUGAACAGUCACCUCUUAGCCACGACCUCAUCCUUAACCUGACUCAGGAUGGAAUCAAACUGCUGUUUGAUGCUUUCAAUCAGAGACUUAAGGUGAUUGAAGUAUAUGACUUGACUAAGGUGAAGUUAAAAUAUUGUGGUGUCCAUUUUAACUCUCAGGCAAUUGCUCCAACCAUAGAACAAAUUGAUCAAUCGUUUGGAGCAACGCAUCCAGGAGUGUAUAAUUCAGCUGAACAACUCUUUCACCUCAAUUUCAGAGGACUUUCAUUUUCUUUUCAGCUAGACUCCUGGACUGAAACUCCAAAGUACGAGCCUAACUUUGCGCACGGUCUGGCUUCUCUGCAAAUUCCACAUGGCGCGACUGUGAAACGCAUGUACAUCUACAAUGGAAACAGCCUGCAGGAUACCAAGGCUCCCUUGAUGCCCCUCAGCUGUUUCCUUGGCAAUGUGUAUGCUGAGAAUGUUGAUGUGCUGAGAGAUGGGACUGGACCCUCAGGUUUACGGCUUCGCCUACUCACUGCAGGCUGUGGCCCGGGUGUGUUAGCUGAUGCCAAGAUGCGGGUAUUUGAGCGCUGCGUGUACUUUGGUGAUUCAUGCCAGGAUGUGCUGAGCACUUUGGGGUCUCCGCACAAAGUUUUCUACAAGUCUGAAGAUAAGAUGAAAAUCCACUCACCCUCGCCCCAUAAGCAGGUCCCAUCGAAGUGCAAUGACUACUUCUUCAAUUAUUUCACACUUGGAGUGGAUAUUCUCUUUGAUGCAAACACUCACAAGGUGAAGAAAUUUGUCUUGCAUACAAAUUAUCCUGGUCAUUACAACUUUAACAUCUACCAUCGCUGUGAAUUCAAGAUUCCACUAGUCAUUAAGCGAGAUAGUGCCGAUUCACAGACUGAAACAUGUACAACGUACAGUAAGUGGGACAGUAUUCAGGACCUCCUGGGGCAUCCUGUAGAGAAGCCAGUGGUACUUCACAGGUCAUCAUCUCCGAACAACACUAACCCAUUUGGGUCAACCUUUUGCUUUGGACUGCAACGAAUGAUCUUUGAGGUGAUGCAGAAUAAUCACAUAGCUUCUGUUACUCUGUAUGGCCCAACAAGGCCCAGCAGCCAGUUGAGAACAUCGGACCUUCCCCAGUGAGCAUCCCCUGCAAAGUCAGCUAAUCUAAAUGCUACACAAUUAGUACAGCGUGCCUUGAUUUGCUGCCACUUAUAAUACGGAAAGCACGUUAUGAUUUUUGUUUCUUGUCAAUAAGCCUUUCCACCCAGAAGUGGUGUGGAAGGGAAAUUCUCUCAACCCUUCAUCAUGGGGCGUGGAACUGUUGAUGGAGGAAAACAGCUUAGGUGCCUGUGCCGUCAUCUGUUCCUCUCAGUUGCCCUCAUCCUAUGCAGCACAGAGCUGGAGAGUGCUCCCCGUCUCUACCGACGGGAGGGGGGCACGGGAGGGGGACACGUAAUGACUGCAAGAGUUAGAAGCACAAACUUUCUGAGCCUUGGAGCAUCUGGAAGCAGGUGUGAUAUUCGAAAUGCCUAUUGGCAUCCCUCCUUUUACAGCCAGUUCUCCAAAGCAGCAGUACAGACAGGAGCAUACGUAGCAGCCUGUGUCUCAGUAGACACCUGAAACACGGUGUUUUUACUUCUCCUGAAGUGGGGGAUGAGAGUCUUCAAGGUGCUGUAAAUACCUUGCACUGUGUUUAACAAAUGCUGUCGUUCCACCUACAUCAGCCUUUGGGUAUUUCCCUCAAAUGGAUCAAGUUUCAAGGCUAAACGGCUUGCACAGCAGGACGAAAAAUGUCUGCAGUGAGAGGAGCAGAUGUGGUUUCUCCUGCUGCUUGCUUGCACCUUAAGGUCCUUCAGCACAGAAGUGAGAGCUUCCUGCAGGGCCGGUGUUUCUCCUGCAGGUGGAGAAGUGCUCAGCUGCCUGUGCAGCCUGUCCUGAAACGUGAGAUGGCUUUGGUCACACCAAUGCUCACUGUGCUCGAAGAGAACUUUAGGAUCUCUGACUGGAGAUGGUGUGUGCACUUAUGUUCAAUACUAAAACAUGAUCAUACUGCUAAUAAUUUCAAUUAACUUUAAUAAAUCCUUUUCUAACAGUGACUUGGUUUUAGCUGCAGGAGGAGAAAUUCUUGACAGAACAAUUUGAGUAAAGGCUACGCAAAUGCUCCCAGUGUCCACCAGCUGUAGUUCUCCAGGUGUGGGAGGUCAGGACUGUAUAGCCCAAGGUAUUUAACAGCUUCAGUGCUCCCACUUCACUUGAGGUACUUGGGUGAGUCAAAAAAAAAAAAAAAAAAAAAGUGUGUGUGUACAUAUAGUGAGGAAAAAAAAAAGAUAUAUAUAAAAAAGAUAUAUAUAUGUAAAAUAAUAUAUAUAUAUAUAUAUAUAUAUAUAUAGUAGAUAAUGAAAUGUACCUUCUUAAUAACUCAGGGACUUUCAAGGUCCGUCUUGAGGCGAGGAAGAAAACUUGUUUUGAAAAAUCUUGCUCGGGCACUAAGAAGAACACAAGUCAUUACCUUGCUGUGACUCGUUCUUACUUCCUUUGCUCCCUCUUGUAGCCUUUCGAUUUGCUGGCUGUUUCUUUUAUGAGAUGAGAGCUUUUCAUCCAUUAGAAGAUCACCCUGGCCCCUCACCCUGUCUUUAAGAUCUAUUAAGAGCACUUUGCUGCUGUGCAGAGCUGGGCAGGAGGAGGAGAGAAGGAGUCUUAAAGAUAAUUUAUCAGUGAGGAAUGAAAGCACUUUCCCCUCACUGAUUGGGUUUGUCUUGUUCUUUUUGGUUUCAGUCUGCUGUUUCCUUUCAGAAGGGCAUGGAGAGAGAAUGUGGGACAGCUCCUCUGGGUCUUGCCCACUUGUCCUUUGUAGGUGCAGCUGCUCAUAGCUUGUUUCUCUGAGAUGGUUUGUUUUGUUUGCUGCUGUCUGGACUAAGCCAAGCCAAGCAGUGCCUGCGUGGAUGCAUUAGGGCAGCUGGUGCGGAGCUCUUAGGCCUGGUUAGCAUGAAGAGCUGAGGAAGUAGUGGGGCACUGAUGACAAGCUUGAAGUGCCAGGAUGGAGUGAGAAGUGCCUGGAGGUGAGAGUGCACCCACACGUUUGUCUGCUGGGCUUUGAACAUUGCAGUGUUUUCCACAGUAUUUCACUUGUUUGUGGUUAAUAAAGCUCAUCUUGCAGCCCUUCUGUCUGGAGGUGAAACUGACCUUCCUUCCCAUGCCCAUAGGCCUGCAGGCAGUUGCUGGUCUCCUGGGAGUGUUGCAAGCAGUGCCACUGGAUAUCACUAGAACCCUCUGCUCCCAAAAAGAGUUUCCAUCAAGAAAACUGAAUUUUCUGUUGCCAGGGACUGUCGCACUUCUAAUUCUUACCAGAUCAUUUUGCUGUGAAAUAGCUGUUGGUGGUGUGUGAGAACUGAUUUGUGCAUUAAGGUCGUUCAUGUUCCCAUCAGAACUAUAAAAACAGAACCUUUUGUGGGGCUCAGUAACUCAGCCAGAGGUGAUCCGUCCUUUUAGGGCUGUCUGGGCACUCUGCUGGCAGAGGAAACCAGGGGUGGUGGAGCCUGGUGUUUGAGGUUGUGAAGGAACAAAUGUUCUGAGCUAGCUCAGAUACAGUUAUUUCAUGUCAACUUUUGUCCCACAGACACCUCAGCUGUUUUCCCUCCUACAGUGUGGUUGCACUGACACAAAGGCACUCUUCUGUGUCUUGGCUGAUCAAACACAGCUUGGCACAACACAUGCAGCCAGGCGACUAUGUUGCCACCUGUGUUGUGAGGUUAAUGAAAUACACACCAGCUCUAGUUUGUGCUUUUCAUGCAAGGUAUGGUCCAGGAUGUUCCAGAGGUAAGGUAAGGUUGAAGCAAAAGAAGAGGCAAAUGCAUCUUCAGAAAGCUUCAUUUUCAACUCUUAAGCAUAAAAUAGCAUCAAGAGUUAAGAAAGUAGGGGGCCAGACUUGAAUGCUUUUAACACAACCUUUUCCAUCCCUGAAUUCAUUCCCCUGUAAAUGCUAUUAGUUCUGUCAUUUUAAGUACGUGUAUUGCAGUUUUGGAAGUGUCUUAACAUUUCAGACCUAUGCCACAGAUUCCUGCUAAUGCUUAAUUUUAAUUCCAUUAUUGAUACCCACUGGGGAGUGUUUGUUUUCAAUACCACUCUCACAUGCACACCAAAAAACCAACCCCAUCAUGACUACAAAUAUGCAUUCCCAUCAAGUAAAUAAUCAAAGCAGCCUGAAUCACUUUGUUCUCUCUUCACCUCACCUGGUUUGGGUGAGCUGCAGAAGAGCCUCGGGAUGGUCAGUGCUGGUGGGGAGCUGCUUCAGCCCUUGGAGGGACUCGACUGCACUCAUGCUUUGGGUUUUAGUUUUCUCUCUCAUUCCUCAGUUCUGAUUUUCUCAGGCUUACAGAAAACUUAGGAAACUGAAUUUGGAAGUUUACUGGUUUUGACCAAUUUCAGUGGAGUUAGCAGCAUCUUUAGGGAAAUGCAUGAAGCUGAUUUUCAGGGCUGCCGAGACCUGCAGCUCCAGCUGGAAGACACAAUGUGGGGAUGCAGCAGUUCUUCAGAUGAACAUUCUUCACAUCCCCAAGCCUGCAGGUCUCUCAGUGCUCUCUGGACAGUGUUCUUGGUUCUCCCAUUUAGCAUUUAGCUCUGAGAUGUUUGAUUAUUUUUUUGCUGCUUGAUGUUGCAGUUGGGCUUUGCUUCCGAGAACCCGCUGCAAGAAGAUGAAUAAUUAAGCUGCAGACAGGAAGCAUGGUAUUUUAACACUCCAUUGCUUCAGAGCUGUCCUUGGCUUUCUUUUUUAUGGUGUCUAAGCCAGCAGUGGCCUGACCUAAUGACAGAUCUUGGCAUUCUGUACCAGUUUAUGCCUUUGGAGAUGUGUUUGGAGGUGCUGAAUGUGAGGCUCAAGCCAGCUCUGCUCCUUAUAAUGACCAAAUCUGGCUGCUUAUGUACAGUAGGAAAAAAAAAAAGACUGUGUGGGUCUCUGAGUUUCAAUAAAACCUACUGUGCUGUGUUAGCUUCAGAUAUUUGUCUGCCUCAAGGGAGUCUGCCUGCUUUGCUUGCUACUGGUGGUGCCUGCAGAGGACUUUUUUAUGUUUUCUUUUUUCAUCAUGGGUUAUGGUAAUGAAUGGAACUGCCAAGCAAGGCUUUACAUGAAGCCCCGCCUGGUGCAAUGAAUUAGCCACUUCAUAAACCUGCCCCAAAUUUCCUUCUGAAAUGGACCGUUUUGGGUUUCCAGGAGGUGUCAGGAGGCUUUGCAGAACUCGAGUUGAUGAGAUCUAUGUUUAUUCGGCAAAUUUUGCCGUGCUUAAAGGGGUAAAGCAGAAUGAUCGCUGCCUGCUUUUCAUAUACUUAAUGCAGGAGUUAAUGGGCCUUUGUGCUCUCCUUGCAGGAAAAACUGUUUGUAUGGAAAGUCAGGCUCUUCAUAGGAAAUGCGUAGUUGUAUUGAUUGCUGCAGCUGAAAUUAGCUACUGAAGUUUGCGUGUGAGCACCUGGAGGUAACAGAUUCAUUUCAGAGCAGCAUUUCAGUAUUCUCUCCAUGGUCACUGCUGCCAAAAAAAUUGGGUCAAGUGUAAGAUUUUAAAUGUUUCCCACUUGAGCCUGUCUAGUCUAUUUUUAGCACUGUAGUUGCUGUAAGUAUCCCAUUGUUCCCUUUCUUUCCUGAUGCAAAGCAUGAAGCAACGUGCUUUUUAUGCAUCUUGCAAUCUCUGCCUACAAGGAGGAUAACUAAUAUCUGUCUCUGUAAGAUAAUCUCCUGCAUGCUCUGCAUUUCCAUAGCAAGCUCCACCGGAGCAUUCAGAGCUGAGGAUCCACACCUAGCAGCUCUCUUCAAAAGGAGGUCAGCAGAGGAUCUUUCCUACUCAUUCUCAUACACACCUAGGAUUUUAGGACUUUCUGUAAGAGAAGCUCUCUAGUCAAAGGCUUUUUGCCUGCAGUGAUAGUAAGCAGAGUUUAAUAAACUGCAGUGGGUAUGGCUCUGCCCUCUGGUAUUUCCUCAGCACAUUACUUAUGCUGGCAUUUGGGGUCUGUAAACUUCCAUCUCCACUGCAGAAGCAAAUGGAAACUUUUAAAACCGGGUUAAAAUGGCCUUGCAGCAAAGACUGGCAAAUAGAUGCAGAUGUACCUUUCGUCAGUAACAUUAGAUUUAGGUUCAUUGGACAAAGACAUGAGCUGUUCCACAGAUGGAGGCAGUGCACUGAACAGCCUGGCCUAAGUCUGUUUCUGUCAGCCACCACGUGUGUGCCAGCACAGGUGGCUCACUGAAUUGCAGAAUGGGAGGGGUUGGAAGGGACCUUGGAUGUCUUGGAGUUCCAGCACCCUUGCUCUGGCCAGGGCUGCCAGCCACAGAAGCGCUGUGUUGAAUUGCUGCUUUGAUCUGGGACAAAAUGUGCUCGUUAGAUCCAUUUUGUGGGCAUGCUGUGGAUCUGAAGACAUUACGGAGGGAGGAGUCAAACGUUACUGCAUCUCCAAGCUCAAAAGGAAGAUCUUAAUAAGGACUGCUGAACGUGACUACCUGCUUUGUAGUCACGAGGUAAGCUGUGUUUAUUUUGCUGUCGUUACCAUUAAAUGAAGUCCAGCAUAAGGAAAGACUUACAAGUUGUCCAAAACAAUGAAUACUGCAUUUUCAUGUUGCUGCCUUCAUGAAAAAGACAUGUGGUGUUGGUCGUGUGCAUGUGCAGAUGUACUCAAUAGACUCACUCUGACAACUGGAAGCGUGCCUGCAUGCUGUCCUUUAAUCAUGCUAUAAGGAAUUUCCCAGGCUGUAAACUAACCACAGGUAACACAUUUCUCUACAAACUCGUAAUUCCGUACAUAUCGCACAUGGUAGCAGAUGGGCACAGCUGGCAUUCACCCGCCAGUGAAGCUCAGGCUCAUUCCCACACGUUGCUCCUUGUUCAGCUCAUGCGAGUAUUCUGUACUUCAGGACCUCCUCCUGAAAAUACCCUAAUUCUGCUUGUGGUCCUUUGAUUCCUACAUAGACAACCUUUCCCUGGAAAUACAUUAUUGUAAGGCUUGAACUCUGAAGAUGAAGUUAACAUGUAAAACAUUACAAAUAUUGAUAGGCAUGACCAGUGUGUUUUCCUUCAUAGUGUGCCCAGCUGAUACAAGAAUGAAAUCAGCCUACAGCUGGAUGAGAGGAUGUGCCCAGGUCUGAAUGCAUCUGCACUGCAGGCUGUGAUGAAAAGAAAGCCGCUUCCUGGAGAUGUACGACUGACUGCCAUUUCCUCUGAGGCUGCGUGGAUGUGUCCUCCUGGUGGGGCAUCUGGAGUUCUCUGAGGGCUCGGGAGGGUUGUUGAGGGAGAAGAAAUUACAAAAGGGUUAGCAAAUACGUCUUCAGAGGGGAAUCGAGAUUUUUAACCUUGGCUCUGAGGAAUGUACUGUUUGAUAUCCAAGAAAAGGAUGUUCUUUUAUGGUAAUCUGCUGCUAGAAAAACAAAUUGCUUUGAACUAUUGACUGGUCUUUGAAAGGCUCAGCAGCCUAGUGUACUUGUCUGAUAUUUAAAAUACUUAUGAAGUUACCAACAGAAAGAAGAAUGGUGCGUUUUUUCUCCCCAAAAGUUUAGAAAGGCUUUUAUUCUAAAGCCCUGUUGUCUGAAGACUGCUUUCUCCCUUCACAUGACGCUCACAGCAGUGCUGAAAGUCUUGGUUGCUCUUUGCAGUUGACAGUACGCCAGGAAGAGCACUGAGGUCCAGAGAAACCAGCCCAGUCCGUUGACAAGAUUUCCUUUGGUUUGAAGAAGCUCUCAGAAGUGAUGCAAACAGCAGCUCUGUGUGAUUUCACCCUCACAAGCAAAAGGCCAAAGGAUCUCUCCAUAUGCAAGCCUUCUGAAGAUCUGCAUAAGACAGUGAGAGAGAGGUUGGGUGCUGCUGGAAAGCUUUGAAUUUUCAAGGAGUGCCAGUCAGCACAGUGUAGAGAGUCUGAUCUCCCUAAAGUGCCAAAAGAUGGUCCUCUGAGUCCUGACAGUGUGUCAGUGGAGGAUAUGAAUUUUGAAUGCAUGUUGGUACGAAGAAUGCUUCAUAAAUCCAUCCCUUCCCAGUCACUUACCCACCUGUCUUCUGCUCAACUGGCCUUGUCACCCCAAGCUUGCUUUCUUCUAGUCCAUGCUGUCUGCAUCACAGGGAACCCCAACUCAAUAGCUGUUCUUUUCUGGGGCUUUACAGAAAGCCAAUCAGGCAGUGGUAAUUUCAUCUUAGCAUACACUGAGGACAGCUGAUUUCCUUAACUCUAGUUAACCAUGUAGUGUGGUUGUUUCUCACUGAGUCUGAAUAACUCUAGCCCUAAUCAAGGUAACAAGCUGACAAUGAUCUCUGUACUCUUUGGCUUCAUCUCUUUCCCUCAUCUUCCUUCCAUUUUGCACAUCUCUAACAAUGCUGAAAAUUCUCCAUGGAUUGCGUUUUGCAAUGUCUGUGCACACUGACCUGCUAAGCACUACUGUAAUUCUAAUAAAUAAUAAUAAAUUAAA